rnacentral:rRNA from 1 species
GAUGAACGCUGGCGGCGUGCCUAAUACAUGCAAGUCGAGCGAACAGACGAGGAGCUUGCUCCUCUGACGUUAGCGGCGGACGGGUGAGUAACACGUGGAUAACCUACCUAUAAGACUGGGAUAACUUCGGGAAACCGGAGCUAAUACCGGAUAAUAUAUUGAACCGCAUGGUUCAAUAGUGAAAUACGGUUUUGCGGUCACUUAUAGAUGGAUCCGCGCCGCAUUAGCUAGUUGGUAAGGUAACGGCUUACCAAGGCAACGAUGCGUAGCCGACCUGAGAGGGUGAUCGGCCACACUGGAACUGAGACACGGUCCAGACUCCUACGGGAGGCAGCAGUAGGGAAUCUUCCGCAAUGGGCGAAAGCCUGACGGAGCAACGCCGCGUGAGUGAUGAAGGUCUUCGGAUCGUAAAACUCUGUUAUUAGGGAAGAACAAAUGUGUAAGUAACUAUGCACGUCUUGACGGUACCUAAUCAGAAAGCCACGGCUAACUACGUG